AAAAAGGUAAGCUAAAUAAAGCUACUGGGCUCAUACCCCAUUAAUGGAUUUAACACACCCCUUUUUA
rnacentral:tRNA from 1 species